rnacentral:lncRNA from 1 species
AGGCAGAAAUUCUCGAAUGGGAAAAAAAAGGAUGACCAGAAACCAAAACUUUUCUUAAGAUGAGUGUUUUCAGAAGAUAUGACUGAUGUAUUCAGGCCACGUACAAAUCUGUUUUCCUGGAAAAUUCAGUUGCCAAAACACAAGUACUUUUAAUGCCCAGGAAAUAGUCAAUGAAGCCACAAAUCACAUCUUACGAUGUGUCCUCAUGUCAUGCUAGCUGCCAUGGAAAACUAUGAGAUGUACAAGGAAUGGUUCCCUCUUCUCCAGAGAAUGACUAGGUUUCAGAAAGAGAGGAUGGAAGAUGGCAUCCUAGGUGAGAGAUGAUCUGAGCUAGAGUUCAGAGGGAGGAAAGUGAAAAUUAUGUUCAGAC